rnacentral:rRNA from 1 species
GAUGAACGCUGGCGGCGUGCCUAAUACAUGCAAGUCGAGCGAACAGACGAGGAGCUUGCUCCUCUGACGUUAGCGGCGGACGGGUGAGUAACACGUGGAUAACCUACCUAUAAGACUGGGAUAACUUCGGGAAACCGGAGCUAAUACCGGAUAAUAUAUUGAACCGCAUGGUUCAAUAGUGAAAGACGGUUUUGCUGUCACUUAUAGAUGGAUCCGCGCUGCAUUAGCUAGUUGGUAAGGUAACGGCUUACCAAGGCGACGAUGCGUAGCCGACCUGAGAGGGUGAUCGGCCACACUGGAACUGGGACACGGUCCAGACUCCUACGGGAGGCAGCAGUAGGGAAUCUUCCGCAAUGGGCGAAAGCCUGACGGAGCAACGCCGCGUGAGUGAUGAAGGUCUUCGGAUCGUAAAACUCUGUUAUUAGGGAAGAACAAAUGUGUAAGGAACUAUGCACAUCUUGACGGUACCUAAUCAGAAAGCCACGGCUAACUACGUG